UCUUAGGGAUUGCUUUCAUUCAGCUAGGCAAAAAGGCUUUGAGCGGCCCCACCAAUGCCUUUCUCUCAUUUAUUUGGGCUAGAAUUAAGGUUUAUUUGUUUUCUGUUUUCUUCUUCUUCAGAUUGUUUCUCUGUCUUGAUCCAUUUAACAAACUGUUUCCUCCUGUAUCUCAGAAGGAACCUAUAGGGCCUGCACCUCUGUCUGCAGUCUGCAUGCCUCCAUGCCUCCUUCUUUUGAGUGCAUUUCUCUCAACUCAUUUUCCUGGAGCUCCUAAAUAUCUCUCAAGUUUCAGGUUGAAAACGUGUCACCAUCACCAAGUGCACAGACUGAGAAAGCGUCAUUAGAUGUCGCCACACCACAAGCACCAGCUGGAGUAGCACCCUAAGAUGCACCUUAGAACCAAGAAGUUUUGCAACCUUAGAGCCAAGGGUGCUGGAGCGGCACCCUCGACAGACCUAAGAUAGAUCAAGAAGUUCCUUUCUUGUCACAUCAGAGGAUGAAGCCUUUCAACCAGCCCCACGCAAGUGCAGUCAAGCCCAACUUGAGACCUAGUCAGGAGAAAACCAGUCACGGCACCCGAAGUCUGUAGGUGCCUGCUUGGCAGGAUGGCCAGCCCGUGGACAGACGUUUGCUGACCGGCUGAGCACCAGGACGACUUCAGCAGGUAGACACCACAAAGCUAACAGCCCAGAGCAAACACACGGCAAUGCUGCCCGGAAGCCAGUGGGUGGCCUUGGCUGGUGAAAGCCCUUCCUUCAAGCAACUGAGGCAGGAGCCCAUUAAAGGUGUUAAUUUUACAUGAUGUAGCACAGCGAGUUUAUAAAUAAGUAACAAAUGAACAUUCCCCAUGGUUCCUCUCCUCUGAAUUUUUGUGUACCUGCUACAGGCCUGGCAACAGCAGGAGUUUCUCAGAUGCCAGAUCUGGAAUUGCUCUUCAAAAGCGAGGGGGGAGGCAUUUCUAGCACCAGGACCAAUGAUAGUGUCCAAUUAUUUGCAUUAUUUUGACUCAAUAACUUUUGAUGCCUACAUCCUUGGAUCCAAACAUCUUUAAAAAAUAGCACUAAUCCAUCCUCUGUGUUUGGAUGUGCUCAAUUGAAGAUUACCAUCGUGAGCUGCAAGAACAAAACACAGAUGUUAGAAUUUCAGAAAAAUGUACUGUGGGGGACCAUUAGUAAAAAAUACUGUUUAAAAUAUAUAACAUAUGUAACUAUUAAAUACAUAAAAAUCCCAUGCACCAAGAGGCAAAACAUGAUGAAAGUUGUUGAAUAUUUUAAGUACCUAUAUUGCUACAUAAAAUGGUUCUGUGCGCUAGAAUUUUCUAUUGCAGGAGAUUUAUGAAAUUUUGUCAAAGUGGUAGAUCAUGCUGAAGUCAGGGGAAAUACUAGCACACUUUGGGUUGCUUUCUAUUUUUAAUUAAGUUUGAAACUGCAUCUUUGCACUUGUGAGUGUGCAUAUAAAUAUAUGUAAGUCCAGAUGUGAUUAACAAUAAUGCUGAUCUAUGCAGGCAUUCAAAUUCUCUCACAAAAUGGCCCCCUCCCACUGCAGAGAAAAUUACUUAAUUGAGGCUAGGUCUGUGUAAUCAUAAUGAAAAGGAGAUAGAAUGGCAAAAUUUGACCAGCAUGAUUCACCUUCAUUUAUUUGAAAGCCUAAGAGGCAGGGUGAUAUGAGUCCUGCCCUGGGCUCCCAACUUUGUUGUGAUGACUUAAGGCCACAGUGCUGCCUUCUUUAGCCAUGUCAAUAAGGAUGAGACUGGCUAGGCUUGAGUAGCUAACUCCAGUCCAUCUAAUGCUUAUCCUGAAGGACGAAGGCAGGGAAGGAUCAAAGGCACCCUUGAAAAUAAACUGGGUCCAACGUACAGAGGGUCCAAAAAACUAGGCAGUAUUAAUAAAGAUGGAGUCAAGGGCAAAUAACCAGGUCUGAUGGCUGCAAAGAAAGUCUGAUGGAAGACGGCAGAGAAGCAAAAGAGAUGCAAGCAGAGGACUCGAGACACCACCCAAGUCCCUUGCACCAUCAGCUUCCCUCUAUCUUUGCCUCAGUUCCAACCUUCUGGCCCAACCUGUCUUUCAAAUGCCCAGUGCACCUGAGUCUUCACUACAUAAGCAGCAUUUAAUUCUGUAUUCUUCUGUCCCAUUCUUGUUGUUUUCUAUGGGCUUCCACUCAUCCUAACGAGAUUAAAACUCUAUUUGGAGAUCAGUAACUAUAUCGCAUGUAUCUAUAUUUUCUCCAGGGCCUAACACAGCUGUAUGCACUUUCAAAGUUUCAGCAACUGCUUAGUGGUUGAGUCGAUAUGAAAUCAUUGUUUGCCUUCCAGCAAGGACUGAUAGCCAGCUUUUCAUCAGUCCACAUCUACACCUGUUUCAAUUUUCCUACAAAAUAUAUACUCCAAAAUACAUGAGGACAUAAUUCAUUUAGUACUUGCUUUAUUUUCUAACUUUUCUUAACAUGAUCAUCAUCUAUACAGAUUCAACUUAUUUUUCUAAUAACUGUAUAAAAUUCCACCAGGUGGAUGCACCAGAGUUUAUUCAGCCAUUCCUCUGGCUGCCAUGUAUUCCUGCCUGAUAAGCAAUAUUACAAUAAACAAGUUUAUCAAUGUCAUUUUGUAUUUGCGUUUUAAUUUGUCGAUUCCCAGGAGUGCAAAGAUAAAGUGUAU